CUGCACCUGCUGCCUGCCUGGGAAGGAGCUGCUGCCUCUGCACCCUCCUAAAUGGUAAGUAACUAUUAUACCCCCCUGCCAUUAUACCCCCCACCAUCCCUGCCUUUAUAACCCCCCUGCCAUUAUACCCCACCCCCACUGUCAUUAUAACCCCCCCUGCCAUUAUACCACCACCCUUCCUGCCCCACACCCCCCUGCCCCACCCCACCCCCACUGCCAUUAUACCCCACCUCUCUGCCAUUAUAACACCUGCCAUUAUACCCUCCUGCCAUUAUAAUCCCCCUCGCCAUUAUACCCUCCGCCAUUAUAAUCCCCUACCCUAUACCCCACCUCCCUGCCAUUAUAAUCCCCUGCCCUAUACCCCACCUCCUGCAUUAUAAUCCCUCCUGCCCUAUACCCCCACCUCCCUGCCAUUAUAAUUCCACCCCUCUUCCCCUUUACCCACACCUGCCCUAUACCCCCACCUCACUGCCAUUAAAACCCCCCAUGCCAUUAUACUCCUUCCCUAUACCCCCACCUCACUGUCAUUAUAACCCCAGAGCAGCCACCAAAAGGUGAGACCGACCCUGCUGAUCCUGCACCCUCCUAAAUGGUAAGAUACUACUAUACCGCCCUAACCCCAUUGCCCUAUACCCCCCUGCCAUUAUAACCCCACCCCCUUCCCUAUAUCCCCCACCCUCCCUGCGCUAUUCCCCACCCUCUGUGCCAUUAUACACCCACCCUCCCUGCCCUAUUCCCCCAUGCAAUAUCACACACUAAGUCCCAGACCCCAAUCUACUCCGACCCUCCUAGGCACAUACAACUGUUCCCCUACUGUCACAUAGACACAUUACACACAGGCUCACAUUCACAAAUUACAUAUGCAGUCACACACAAUGCACAUAGAUACUCUGACACAAACACAUUUUUUUACACAAGGGACAAGGACAGAUAUAUUCUGGGAGGCAGUGAGGUUAGUGCGCGCCCUGCAGUGAACCGGCAGCUGGGAUAAGAUGUCAUCCUGGCAUCGGCAUCACUACUGGGAAAACAAGUGAGCUGUGCAGGAAGAGCACCCAGCCCAGCAGCAACCGCAAAUCACUAUGGGGAAGAUCCAAG